CGCCCGCCGCGCUGCCGGGCACCGGGGCCAGCGGCCCGGCGAGCAGCGCCUCACGGAGCCUUCGGAAAUCGGGACAGAGCGUGUUAAAAACUCCAGCUAAACAUGCCAUGGACUUCCUGUCAGAUGAGGAAUAAGUCACUUCACUGCUUUUUCUCAGGAUUCCUGAUACAACAGUUCAGGGUUGUAUGGCAAGAAGAAGCUGGACUGGAGCUGAAAUGUAAC